UGCGGCUCUAAUCCAAGCUGUGACAGCCCCCACUCAUGGGUGUCACGGUUAUUCCGAGCCCAGAGAGACGGCUCCUGACGGUCGCUCUUCAGGCUUAUACUUCUGCCUAAUAGCAACAUAAUGGGAGCCGACAUGU